CUAGAGGGUGCAAGCGUUAAUCGGAUUUACUGGGCGUAAAGCGUGAGUAGGUGGCUCGCUAAGUCGGUUGUGAAAUCCCUGGGCUCAACCUGGGAAUUGCAGUCGAUACUGGCAAGCUCAAGUUCGGUAGAGGGUGACGGAAUUCCCGGUGUAGCGGUGAAAUGCGUAGAUAUCGGGAGGAACAUCGAUGGCGAAGGCAAUCACCUGGGCCUGAACUGACACUGAGACACGAAAGCGUGGGUAGCAAACAGGAUUAGAUACCCUGGUAGUCCACGCCGUAAACGAUGAGAACCUGACGUCGGUUUGCUCUGCGAAUCGGUGUCGUAGCUAACGCGCUAAGUUCUCCGCCUGGGGAGUACAGCCGCAAGGUUG
rnacentral:rRNA from 1 species